rnacentral:rRNA from 1 species
GAUGACCGCUGGCGGCGUGCCUAAUACAUGCAAGUCGAGCGAACGGACGAGAAGCUUGCUCCUCUGAUGUUAGCGGCGGACGGGUGAGUAACACGUGCAUAACCUACCUAUAAGACUGGGAUAACUUCGGGAAACCGUAGCUUAUACCGGAUAAUAUUUUGAACCGCAUGGUUCCAAAGUGAAAGACGGUCUUGCUGUCACUUAUAGAUGGAUCCGCGCUGCAUUAACUAGUUGGUAAGGUAACGGCUUACCAAGGCAACGAUGCAUAGCCGACCUGAGAGGGUCAUCGCCCACACUGGAACUGAGACACGGUCCAGACUCCUACGGGAGGCAGCAGUAGGGAAUCUUCCGCAAUGGGCGAAAGCCUGACGGAGCAACGUCGCCUGAGUGAUGAAGGUCUUCGGAUCGUAAAACUCUGUUAUUAGGGAAGAACAUAUAUGUAAGUAACUGUGCACAUCUUGACGGUACCUAAUCAGAAAGCCACGGCUAACUACGUG